rnacentral:rRNA from 1 species
CAAAAACAUCUCUCCUAGGUGGCGUUAUCGUUAUUAGGAGUAGUCCCUGCCUUGUGAUUGGGUUUUAACGGCGGCGUUAAGUUUUGAAGUAGCGUGAUAAUUUGUCCCUUAAUUAGGGUCUGGUAUGAAUGGGUUGACGUGGGGGAGCUGUCUCAAUGGAAGGGUUUGAAGUUUUCUUCUUAGUGAAAAGCCUGAGAUGAGUUUAAAAGACGAGAAGACCCCGUCGAGCUUGAUUACUACAGUGAUUUGUCGCUGCGGUGAAGUUUUAUUGGGGCAAUAGAGGAGAAUGAAAACCUCCUGUGAUUUUUAUCGAAGAUCCUCUUUUAGGGAGAAAAGGAAAAAGUUACCGCGGGGAUAACAGCGCAAAAUUGUCAGACAGGUCUUAUUGAAGGCAGUGAUUGCGACCUCGAUGUUGGAUUAGGGUUAACAGUUUUGGCGCAGAAGCUAAAUGAAGUGGGACUGUUCGUCCCUUAAACCCUUACAUGAUCUGAGUU